rnacentral:tRNA from 1 species
GGCGUCGUGGCCAAGUGGUAAGGCGAGGGUCUGCAAAAUCCUUAUUCACGGGUUCAAAUCCCGUCGACGCCUCCA